ACAAGUGGGACGUGUUAUGUGAAUGAGAGCAGUUCCAGGGCUUGCGUGAAUACUACUGAGGCUGUUUACACCCCUUCAACACAUCACUGAAUGAAUUGAACCAGGCAGUAAGUAGCCAGUAUGUGAUCUGCAAUCACUGAGGACUUGUGAGGCAGACUAAGAAGCCCUACUGGAUCCACUGGAGAAAUUCUGGCUUUCAUGUUUGUUUGAGACAAAAAGAAGGUAAUUGAUACAAGCACGAUUUGUCAAGCUUAGCACUUGGAUUUGAAGGAUACUCUUCACUGUUACGGAUGUCCACCACCAGCAACUUUGGCUUGCUAGACUUUGUUUUUUUUAUAGGUGUUUUGGAAUGACUUGGUCCUGUCAGUUCACAAAGAUCAAUCAGAUCUUCUGCUGAAAUCCUUGGUGACACCUCU